UACGAAGGGAGCUAGCGUUGUUCGGAAUCACUGGACGUAAAGCGCACGUAGGCGGAUGUGUCAGUCAGGGGUGAAAUCCCGGAGCUCAACUUCGGAACUGCCUCUGAUACAGCACGUCUUGAGUCCGAUAGAGGUGGGUGGAAUUCCUAGUGUAGAGGUGAAAUUCGUAGAUAUUAGGAAGAACACCGGUGGCGAAGGCGGCUCACUGGACUGGUACUGACGCUGAUGCGCGAAAGCGUGGGGAGCAAACAGGG
rnacentral:rRNA from 1 species